AGCGUCAGUCUUCUUUUGUGUAUAAAUCACGAGAUUUGUUUGGUUUCUAAGAAAAUAUUUUAUUCGUGUUUGAUUUAAAGAGUUACCCACUUGAUACACAAUCGUUGAGGCUCUAUAAAGUCUUAAUUCCACCUCUUCGUUUCAUUUUCCGAGAAAAUGUUGGACUUGACGGAAAAUCCCAAGUUGGACAGAUCCUUCAAAGGCAGAGAGAGGAGCUGAGGCAACCAACUAAGAGUUAGAUAUCCUGAAUGCAUGCAUGGAUCCGAGUAUUAAACGCUUGAUGUACCUGAUAGUGGCUUGGCAGCACUAGUACGGCUUAGCAAUGGUGACAUGAGAAAGGCUUUGAACAUUUUGCAGGUGUUUAAACUACUUAUUCCUAUACUGUUUCUGCGUAAAUUGUUGUACAAUGAUAGUUACUUAUUUAAGAACCGUAAGUCAGAGAAACAACAGGUUGGCUUCGAUCUGUUAUUUGCUUUGUGGCAAAAGUGGUGUUACAUUACCACAUUAUCUCAUUGCUCUUCAGAGGGGUGGUGUAGCCUUGUCUAAUUUAUGUGUUUAGGUGAUGUGAACGUUAGUUUUAAUUGGAUAGGAUGGAUUUCUUUUUUCCUAAUUAAAGUGAUAAUAUGAUCUAUAUAUGUGAAAAUGUUGAUUAUUUGUAUAAUAA